rnacentral:lncRNA from 1 species
GAAAGAUGCCAAGUGAUGGGAUGUCAGGUCCUCAUCAGGCUCUCCAGCUUCAGUGCAUCCUUGUUUCUGCUGGCUGAAUCCCUGUUCAUCAACUCUAUCAUUUAUACUAAAUUUUUUGGCUUUUGACCCCCCUUUCAAUCCUUUCAGCUAUCACCCUAUUUCUCAGUGGGGUCAUUUACCCUGGCGUCAGAAACAUUUAGUCUGGUGGUCUUCACCCUGAUCUUCUCCCUUUCCCUCUUAUCAGGCAAGGACAGCCUGCCAUGGGCUUCACUCUCUUUAUCAGGGUGAGGGGAAGGAACUUGUUUGAGGCCUUACUGGAGGGAUCUGUGGAUGUGCCUGGUGAAACUGCAGGUCUUUUAAAAUGGAGUUGCUUAGGCUCAGGCCUAAGGCCAUUCUAACAAGGCUUGUGCCAGUGUCCCUGGCAAGAAGAACACUUUUGAAAGCAUUUGUUUUCUUUGAGAGGAAAGAAUUUCUUUCCUUGAGAGGAAAGAAUAAUCACUUAACAGUUCCCUGUGUUUGGCCAAAAUAAUUACUUUAAAAGGAAAAAGGCUAGAAAUGUUGAAUCCUGUGCUAUAUACCCAGCCCCCCC